AACGCGAAGAACCUUACCUGGGCUCGAAAUGCAGAGAGCGACACCAGAAACGGUGUUUUCCGUAAGGAUUUCUGUAUAGGUGCUGCAUGGCUGUCGUCAGCUCGUGCCGUGAGGUGUUGGGUUAAGUCCCGCAACGAGCGCAACCCUUAUCACUAGUUGCCAUCAUUUAAGGUGGGGACUCUAGUGAGACUGCCUAGGUUAACUAGGAGGAAGGCGAGGAUGACGUCAAGUCCGCAUGGCCUUUAUGUCCAGGGCUACACACGUGCUACAAUGGUCGGUACAGAGGGCUGCAAAACCGUAAGGUCAAGCAAAUCCCAGAAAGCCGAUCUCAGUUCAGAUUGUGGUCUGCAACUCGACCACAUGAAGUCGGAAUUGCUAGUAAUGGCGAGUCAGCAACACCGCCGUGAAUACGUUCCCGGGCCUUGUA
rnacentral:rRNA from 1 species